UCAUCGUCUGAUCACCGAAAAAUGAGCACCUGCAAAAAAAAGUCCACACUGACCGGAGAUGCCUCCGACGUGGAUCCUCCAACGGUCAAGUCAGAGAGGAGACUAGGCAACAGUAGAGAGGAAUCAGGGGACUCAGCGAUGGAGAGAGGAAGAGAGGUUCUCCAGCCCUUUUUGUAAGCUGCUGCCUUACCCCAUUUUAUAGUAGGAGGUGAUAUGGUCCCGCUGUCGGUGAUGUAGACAACUGAAGAGUUGUCAAAUCACCGGGGGUUGUCAUGUCGUCGACGGACUGA
rnacentral:lncRNA from 1 species